GCAUAUCAAUAAGCGGAGGAAAAGAAAAUAACAAUGAUUCCCUUAGUAACGGCGAGUGAAGGGGGAAAAGCUCAAAUUUUAAAUCUGCUAGGUUUUUACUUUUCAGAAUUGUAAUUUGAAGAAGCGUUUUCCGCGUCUCGGUUGGCCCAAAUCCUUUGGGAUAAGGUAUCAUGGAGGGUGAGAAUCCCGUUCGGUUGACCUUAUGACGCUUUACGAUACGCUCUCUAAGAGUCGAGUUGUUUGGGAUUGCAGCUCAAAAUGGGAGGUAAAUUUCUCCUAAGGCUAAAUAUCGGCGAGAGACCGAUAGCGAACAAGUACCGUGAGGGAAAGAUGAAAAGAACUUUGAAAAGAGAGUAAAAUAGUACGUGAAAUUGUUGAAAGGGAAACGAUUGAAGUCAGUCGUACCGACGAGAAAUCAACUUAUCGUGUGCGAACU
rnacentral:rRNA from 1 species